rnacentral:lncRNA from 1 species
ACCGUGAAAAAAAUAAGUGAUGACAUAUUGACACCGCUUGAGAAACACCACCGUCUCUUUAUACGGGUGUUUAGUCCCUAAAUUGAUAAUGAAAAAGCCCACCAUGGAGAGACAUCAAAUACACCUGUUGAUUCUUUCUUCUCUCUUCAAUGAGAAAAGGUUAUUUUCUCAUCUUUUAUCAUGAAAUUUUCAUGUAUUCCUGACUUCUAAUUUUGAUAAACUUCGCAUUGUGCCCUUCCGUGUAUUUGCUUUAUAAUUCAUCAAGAGUUGAUCUAACUGUCGAAAAUCUAUUUAUGAUACUAUCAAAAUUGCAGCACCGAUAAUCUGAAUUUGGGAUUCAUACACUAAAGUUGGUAACUUUCUUCUUUUACCAAAAAGAAAAAAAACUCUUCGGUCGAAAACUAAAAGGUGCAUUUCUCUUGAAACUUCUGAUCCAAAAUUUCUUCUUCAAAUCUGAUAUUGUUCACUUUUUAUUUUUAUUAUGUUGCUUCACCGUUGUUGAACUUAUUGGUUUACUCUUUUCUCUGCUAAUCUCUCUAUUCUUUGAAUGAACAUUAAGACUCACAGCGCAAAAGCAAAAUGAGGGAAGAAAUACACUAUUUAGCCUCUUUAUUUAAUCUCUCUAUACUUUCCUCAUAUGCAUUUUUAUUUCAUGUGUUCUAAUUACUUAAUUCUGGGGGAGGAACGAACAGGAUAUGCUUAUUUUGGUGCCCAUGAUGUGUUCGACACAAUGACCACACAGAAAAAUUGCCCACUGCUUCUGUAAAUGAUGUUAACAAGUGCCCAGUUAUUUAAUUAAUAGUGGUGAGUCAGUAACUCUUUCAGAAGAAAUCUUUAGCAUCUAUGCCUUUUUUGCUUAUAUUACCCUCAUUUUAUUUAAUAAAAAAGGAUUAGUAAAAAGGAAAAAAAAUUACGAUAAACUAACGAAACCAAAACAAAACAAAAAAAAAAGGAAAUCUUAAAAGACCAUAUUAACAAGUGAAUGUUUGCGGCAUGUAAAAUUUACACCCUUUCAAUUUAACAAGUGAAUGUUUUUGCUAAAUAUAUAUAUUUUAAAUGAGUACGCUUAUGGAACAAAAGAUCAUGAAUAAUUGGGGAUGAGGGCCGAGAAUAAUUUAGACUCUUUAUCAAUUGCAUCUUCCUGUUUUCCAUCUAUGGUUGAAGUAACUUCCCUAUAAAUUAAGUGUUAAAAGUGCAUUCUUUAUCAUUGUUUGCUAUUUAUCUAUGUAGGUGCUAUUUAUUUUUUCGUUUUACAAUCAAUAAUAUGAGAAAUUGAUUACGCCAGUUGUAUUUUGUGGUGUUGUGAAUGUUCCUUAAUGCUUGACGAAAAAGAAUAAUCAUAAUGUCGCAACUUUUUAGUACGACUAUACUAUUGACAUUUGCCAAAAAUGAAUACCCAUAUAGAUGGAUUUUUGACAGAUAAAAGAAGUCCUCACAUGGUAAAAGAAGCUCAUGAUAAGAAUAUCAAAAAUUGUGGGAUCUAUUAUCAUAUGACAAUGCCUUAGAAAGCAGCAUUGUUGUUGCAACAACACCUCAACUGUAGAGAGGCAACAGAAAAUCAUCUUCUUGCAAACAC